GUUUAUGAUGAGAAAAUGUCCUUAGUGACAAUGCUAUAAACCCAGCUCUUCGAUUAUAAUUUAUUAUAAAGGGAGAAGAGAAUAUGUCAAACGCUCUGAUA
rnacentral:snoRNA from 1 species